AAUAGAUACCCAGGUAGUCCACGCCGUAAACGAUGAGUGCUAAGUGUUGGGGGGUUUCCGCCCCUCAGUGCUGCAGCUAACGCAUUAAGCACUCCGCCUGGGGAGUACGGUCGCAAGACUGAAACUCAAAGGAAUUGACGGGGGCCCGCACAAGCGGUGGAGCAUGUGGUUUAAUUCGAAGCAACGCGAAGAACCUUACCAGGUCUUGACAUCCCGGUGACCACUAUGGAGACAUAGUUUCCCCUUCGGGGGCAACGGUGACAGGUGGUGCAUGGUUGUCGUCAGCUCGUGUCGUGAGAUGUUGGGUUAAGUCCCGCAACGAGCGCAACCCUUAUUCUUAGUUGCCAUCAUUUAGUUGGGCACUCUAAGGAGACUGCCGGUGAUAAACCGGAGGAAGUGGGGAUGACGUCAAAUCAUCAUGCCCCUUAUGACCUGGGCUACACACGUGCUACAAUGGACGGUACAAACGGUUGCCAACCCGCGAGGGGGAGCUAAUCCGAUAAAACCGUUCUCAGUUCGGAUUGUAGGCUGCAACUCGCCUACA
rnacentral:rRNA from 1 species